GCCGGGCAUGGUGGCGGAUGCCUGUAAUCCCAGCUACUUGGGAGGCUGAGGCAAGAGAAUCGCUUGAACCCAGGAGGCGGAGGUUGCAGUGAGCCGAGAUGGUGCACUGCACUCCACCCUGGGUGACAAGAGUGAGACUUCGUCUCCA
rnacentral:SRP_RNA from 2 species